rnacentral:tRNA from 1 species
GGAGAGGUGGCCGAGUGGUCGAAGGCGCACGCUUGGAAAGCGUGUAGGCGGGUAACCGUCUCGGGGGUUCGAAUCCCUUCCUCUCCN